UCAACGGUCUUCAAAAUAAGGUGAAAAAAGAUUGUAAAGAUUCAAUGACAAAGUUUUAUUAAAUACCAAUACUGGCUAGGCACAAUUAGACACAUUAUUAUCUCAUUUGCUGUAUCUGGUAUCAAACAACAAAGCCUGAAAGAUUACCAUAGAUUUUGAUGGCCUCAUUAACAUAAUUAAUCCGUAGUGACAUUCCCUGGAUAAUAAAUACAGUUUUAUGUCCGUGUGUCUUCUGUGUCUUCCAAGUUGCUACAGGGCUCUAUUUGAUCUGAGAAACUGACUGCUGUUUACAUCCAGGUAUGCAAUGUGACAUUAGAAUUGAAGCAGAAAGGAAGCAAAACAAAACAGGGUUCAUGAGGAAAAUAAUCUUCUAAGAACUAACAUGGCCUGGAGGUAAAAUGCAAAUAUAUCCGGUAAUAAGAAGCCCAGAUUACUGCAGAUAAAAGAUUAAAAUAGGAUUCAAUUAUUCAUCUCCAUUUGCAAAUCUACAAACUAGGAGGAAGGACUAACCCUUUUCCUGGGAUUAGUAACUAAAUUUAAUGAUUACAGCAAAUAUAAAGUUCUUUUGUAAAUUAUUGUUGGUUAAGGAUUGACUUGCAUUGACAACACACUUUAGCUCUCGCCCCUUUCAUUCUCCCCCUGCAAGAACAAAGGCAAAAUGAACAGUGAGGAAAACCUGGAAACAGGACCGAGUGUUUGCUAUCACUUGAUUCCUUUGAAGGAGCAAUGCUUUCUCAUAAUAUAGGUUUUAUAGUAUCAUCAAGUACAUCAGUUAAGCAAAUCAAGUGCUUUGUGUUCUGUAUAUAAAUUACAUAAUACAAGAGUCUGUGGCAGUUAAGAAUCUGGUUCUGCACUUUGGGAGGCCGAGAUGGAGCAAGUUUUUCAAAGUUGUUGCCGGUAUCUCAUGAAAGCCCAGGCUGCUACCAUGGUGAGGGCAAACACUGGCACCAGCACCAUAAAUAUGGGAAUACCACUUGGGUCCCCUUCACCUCGAUGUCCUAUAGGUCCAUUCUGCACCUGUAACUGGAAGGGAAAGAAAAAUGUUAACUCUAGUGACUAAUGUGUGUUUGCAACUGAAACGCCCAGGUUGAUACAUCACCUGGGUUUGUAGACUCUAGACCACCCAAAACUGUAACCCCC
rnacentral:lncRNA from 1 species